rnacentral:rRNA from 1 species
AUUGAACGCUGGCGGCAGGCUUAACACAUGCAAGUCGAGCGGGGUGAUGGUGCUUGCACUAUCACUUAGCGGCGGACGGGUGAGUAAUGCUUAGGAAUCUGCCUAUUAGUGGGGGACAACAUCUCGAAAGGGAUGCUAAUACCGCAUACGUCCUACGGGAGAAAGCAGGGGAUCACUUGUGACAUUGCGCUAAUAGAUGAGCCUAAGUCGGAUUAGCUAGUUGGUGGGGUAAAGGCCUACCAAGGCGACGAUCUGUGGCGGGUCUGAGAGGAUGAUCCGCCACACUGGGACUGAGACACGGCCCAGACUCCUACGGGAGGCAGCAGUGGGGAAUAUUGGACAAUGGGGGGAACCCUGAUCCAGCCAUGCCGCGUGUGUGAAGAAGGCCUUAUGGUUGUAAAGCACUUUAAGCGAGGAGGAGACUCUUUUGGUUAAUACCCAAGAUGAGUGGACGUUACUCGCAGAAUAAGCACCGGCUAACUCUGUGCCAGCAGCCGCAGUAA